GCACGAACGUUGGAAACAGCGGUUAGGAGCUUACACCCACCCGUGUUUACAUACUAUUGUUGCUUUGGCGGGCCGUGGCCUCCACUGCGGGCUCUGCUCGUGUGUGUCCGCCAGAGGACCAAACUCUGAAUGUUAGUGAUGUCUGAGUACUAUCUAAUAGUUAAAACUUUCAACAACGGAUCUCUUGGUUCUGGCAUCGAUGAAGAACGCAGCGAAAUGCGAUAAGUAAUGUGAAUUGCAGAAUUCAGUGAAUCAUCGAAUCUUUGAACGCACAUUGCGCCCUGUGGUAUUCCGCAGGGCAUGCCUGUUCGAGCGUCAUUUAACCACUCAAGCCUAGCUUGGUAUUGGGGCACGCGGUCUCGCGGCCCUCAAAAUUAGUGGCGGUGCCGGUGGGCUCUAAGCGUAGUACAUACUCCCGCUAUAGAGUUCCCCCGGUGGCUCGCCAGAACCCCCAAUUUUUACAGGUUGACCUCGG
rnacentral:rRNA from 1 species